CCAGACUCCUACGGGAGGCAGCAGUGGGGAAUAUUGGACAAUGGGGGGAACCCUGAUCCAGCGACGCCGCGUGAGUGAAGAAGUAUUUCGGUAUGUAAAGCUCUAUCAGCGGGGAAGAAAAUGACGGUACCUGACUAAGAAGCCCCGGCUAACUACGUGCCAGCAGCCGCGGUAAUACGUAGGGGGCAAGCGUUAUCCGGAUUUACUGGGUGUAAAGGGAGCGUAGACGGCAUGGCAAGUCAGAUGUGAAAGCCCGGGGCUCAACCCCGGGACUGCAUUUGAAACUGUCAGGCUGGAGUGCAGGAGAGGUAAGUGGAAUUCCUAGUGUAGCGGUGAAAUGCAUAGAUAUUAGGAGGAACACCAGUGGCGAAGGCGGCUUACUGGACUGUAACUGACGUUGAGGCUCGAAAGCGUGGGGAGCAAACAGGAUUAGAUACCCCAGUAUGC
rnacentral:rRNA from 1 species